GAGAGAAGGUACAUUUGACUUCGAGUUGCCUGGUAAGACCAACACCUACAGCUGUUGGUGUGGCCGUCAGUACAUGAGCUGCUUGGCAGAAUUUGA
rnacentral:sRNA from 1 species